AAUGCAGCAGAAAAGAAGGAAAUAAGGUUAGGAACCUUGAAGCUUUUGUUUAGUAAACAAAAAGAGUCAUAAAAAUAUAUGGUGCAAAAGUUCAGUAAUUUGUUCAGUUAAUAAAUAAGAAAAAAAAAUGAUAACUCUCAGCAACCCAAGUCUAUGACUUCUGAAACAAUUUCAAAAAUAUGAACAAUCUAUAAAAAGAAAAUAUUGAUGUACGGGUAACCACUACUGCUGACAGAAACCCAAUGUUGUUUAGCAUUCUGAUCACAAGAUCAGAAACAUUUAACACAAAUUAGCAGAGAUCACAGAAUUGCAACUUUAACAAUGAUGCUUCUGUACUUAGCAUCUUCACUCAAGUAAUCCUGCCACAACCUUUUACUAAUCUUUGGAUAAGGUUGAGUGGUAGAUGCUUUAAUAUCCACUUGGUUUCAAAUUCUCGCUAAGCAGAACCAUAUUGCAUAGGAGUUAAAACCCCAACAUGUAAAGAUUACCUGAAUCAAUAGCAACCACAGUCUUCUCUACAAUGAUGGGUGUCAAUUUUUGCCAAUCCUUAAACUAACAUCAAAUAUCACUCUGCAGUCCUGGCAGUGGAUGGGUAAAACUUCAUGAGGAAGCUUGAGAGUGACCAAAUGCAGAUGACACCAAGGAAUUGGAGGACAUUCAAAAGUGUACCCAAAGAACUGCUUAUCUCCAAAUUGUGCGAGGUCAUUUCAGCUCCUCUCACUGUGAAUGAUAGGGCUGUCACCAGUUGUGCUGCUCUAUUCAGUUGGUGCAAUCUAUAGACUUGAAAGAUUAUUGGGAUGACAGGCCAUGAAGGUGACUUUCGAUAUCUUGCAUAUUGCUCAAAUGCAAACUGAACAACAAUACCAACAAGGUAUGGAGCAAGUGUUGCAGAAGCUGCAGGGCCAGUCCAUGGCCAUACCAAGCCCAUUGUUACCAUAGGAAUUAUAAGACUGAGUACCAAGGCAGCAACAGAAGAAAUUUGCUGUCCCACAUGAGAAGCCAAGGUUGUGCCAACAUUUUCAGCAGAUUCUGGUUCCAUGGGCCUCCUUGAAUGGUCUAUAAGCAAAACAAAAACCGCAACACCACAGUAGAAAAGAGCUUCUGUGAAGAACAAUAUUAGGAAAUCUGCAGAUAGAGAACAAUGGGUUGUUUUCAGAAGGGAAAGGAAAAUAUCCUGCAAUAACUGCAGAUGAGUGGAAUAAAAUAAAAAAGUUUAAUCAAAACCACAAAGGAAUAUAUAAAUGUGAUACAUGAGGAACGAUUUUAACAACAUUACAGCCAAGAAUUCCAAAAAGAGCCAAGAUUCUGUGCUAUCUGUGGCCACUAUUUCAUAUCAGCUCUAUACCGAGCCAAAACUUAAACCAGGUCUUAGAACUUCCAAAUCAGUCUUCAAUAGACAUGAUCAUUGACCACAUUGGACCAAUGGACCUCAAGGAAAAUGUAUUUCCUAGGCUGGGCCGGCUUGUUUAUGGGUCUUGGCAAGGCCAAGCUGAUUGGCUCUCCAAGCCCAUGAAAGAUUUAGUGUUUCAACGAAUCAACUUUCAUCCAUAUUCUUGUUAAACACUGUCCUUCGCUUCAUAAUAUUCCUGUUCAAUCACCACAACAGUACUCCAAUUAUCUUCAAAGCCUCCAACAUUACUCAAUCAUCUUUCAAAUCCAAUAUUGUAUUAUUAAACAGUCAAUAAAUACUCAGAUUCAGGCAGGUCAUAUCCUAGUUCUACACAACUCAAAAUGUUGUUUUAUAGAAUUUCUGGUGUCUUCAGAUAACAUCCUUUGUCUUUUAUCUUCGCAAGUGUUAGCAUCCACUACCACUUCUCUUUCAGCAGUUAUGCACAGAUAAAUAUAAUAAAAAUUUUUACAAUAGCCACUUAUACAACAUUAAGGAAAUGACCAUAUGAAAUAUCACAUAAACCUCCUUCAAUUUGGUGAAAUAUAAUAACAGAAAAUCAAUAAACCAACCCCUUCUUCCAAACGAACUUAGUGAUAUUUCCAUUUCUCUGUGCAUCAUUACUUAUUAACUAUUUACUCACUUAUUUAAAUCUUGUCAAUACUAAAAACUAAAACUCACUGAAAAAAAUUAUUAUCAUCAAAAAGAAAGAGGAAAUGCGAAAGGAGAAUUCACCUGUCAGUAAAGAGUCCUCAAAUACUGUAGAAAGUAUUCUCCGCAAAUAAAGUGAGGGGUAAACAAAAGAGGCUACAAGAACAGUGGGACCCACAAACCAUAAUAGGGUGCUCUUGUCCUUUUGCACAUUAGUUUUAAUAACUACAUCUUCUGUCUUAUAAGGGCGAUUAUAAAAUGAAACUAAACCUGGCUUUCCAUCAGUUCCCUGAGAUUGAUUAAAUGACCUGAUUGUAGACGAGAGAGUUUCAGCAGUAGAAUUAUGAUCUUCUGGCUCCAAUUCAUCUGAUUUGACCUCACUGUACUGUGUCUCAUCUUGAGAAGUUGCACAAAGCACACUUUGUCUUGUGGGUUUUCUGCUUAAUUUUACCAGCCCGCCUAUGAAGUGGCACGAGUUGACUUUAGCAUUUCUAAGCUUCUGAGCAUUAUAAUGCAAUUGAACAUUUGGUCUUUCCACCAAGCUGAGCUUGUAAAACCAAGGCAUCUCAUUUUGGCAACAAUCAUUCGAUAGGCUGCAAUUAACAAAUCGUGGCCAAUUUGCAACAAACAGUUCACUUCUAUUGCUGGGACUGGGAGCUUCUCUUAGGUUUAAAAGAAGAACAAAGUGAAGUGGCCACGCAGGAAAAUGAAGAAGAACCGACUUUAGCAGCCAUACAAAUCUAUCCUGUUAUCAAUAUAUGCGAAGGUAAUAACUAGUGCAGCAGAGUCUAUUACAGUGUUGACUAUUUUAACGCAAACCCAAUUGAAUUGAAGAAGGGAGUUUUACGGAUGCCCAUAUGAGAAAUCUCUCGAAGGAAGGGAGAGAAUGGUGGGAAAAUUGAGGAAUCUUAAUAAGUUUCUGAAGGAGUAGGAGCACCAAGAGAGCGAGAGACGAGAGCGGCUUACUUUGUUUGUAUCAUCUGAGCUUAAAGAAUAAGAGUUUGGACAAUCGUAUAUCCAAUCCUAUGGGCCUCUCACUGUUAACUAGUCACAUUUUUUCCUUCUCUCUCCUCGUUCCAUCUGCCGAUGACACAAUUAUAGCGUGUGCUAUAAGUCUCAUACUUUUGAGACUUGAAUUGAAUUAUUCGAUG
rnacentral:misc_RNA from 1 species